GCCUGGGUGGCUCAGUCGGUUAAGCGUCUGACUUCGGCUCAGGUCACGAUCUCACGGUCCGUGAGUUCGAGCCCCAUGUCGGGCU
rnacentral:tRNA from 1 species